UAUUUAGUCGCCAACAAUACUCCCACUCUAUUUUCUUUAAACCAAAACCCUAAUACCUAAAAAUUAAGGAAAGAUAGUGGUUAUUACAGUCAAGGUCGAAGGUGAUGUUGUCAUGAAGAUGGGUGUGGAGAGGAGGUGGUUGUUGGUGGUGGGUAAGAGUUGUGGGAAAGAUGGAGGAAGCACUGGCGAUUUGAUGAGGCGAUUCCGAUUCUAGGCGUUCCGUGUGACGUUGUGAGUAUGAAACUGGUGGUCGGUAGGCACGGGUGGUCAUCAACGAGCAACACCUGCAAUUACUAACCUCAAAGAUAGUUCAAAUAAGUGGGACUUCAAAGUGGUGAUGGUGACUGUGGAUCAACAUUCUUUCAUACUACGUUGUCAAAGGCGCAUAGGUCUCAUCCCGGAUGAAAAUGACGAACUUCAUCGCUCCCCUGGGACUCCAGUGUUCACUGCUCCUGAAUGUUGUCUAGGCCUAAUUUAUCACGACAAAGCUGCUGACACAUGGGACGAUAUCCUUUUCUUGGGGACACACUACAAGAUACGUAUGAUAAGAGCAAAGGGUGGUUCAGUUCCUUUUGAGGAAGCUUUAGCUACCAGACUUGAUCUAUUCAAGCCUUCACCAUCAACCCAAUUUUAUCUUGAGAAGCGACCCCUAAGGCUUUUUUUUCUACCAUAAAAAUUGGUGGUUAUUUGAUAUCUGAAGGUUUUUGUCAAACGAUCAAUGUAAGUUUAUAGAGACUCUAUAAUUGAUUAUUGUCCUUUUAAGUAUCAAUAAAACUAUAUUUCCAAUACUAGAGCUUUUUAAAUGGGCUGGAGGAUGAAUAUUAUAAGGUACUACUGAUGCACUACGUUUCUUAUAUUAAAUCUUAUUCAUAUAUUUAGGAAUGGGACAAUUCGGGUUAUGUUUAGUCUUAAAUGGGAAAAUCUAAACAAAUUAUUCGGGCCAAACAACUAGAUAUUAAUUUUGUUUUAUUUUACUGGUAUUUAAGUGAUGUGUAUCCUCUGUUGUUAACUUAUUUGAAUCGUAUUGUAAUGCAGCCAUGCAUAUUUGUUUUGUUGAGGAGUUGUUUAUAUGAUAAUAAUGAUGAGGGUUGUGACAUGGCUACAAUAUAUAUAAAUACAAUUGGAGGUGAUGGUUUCGUUGAGGGGCUAAGAGACAUCAAAACUGCCACCAGUUACAAGUUUACUCAUCACCAGAACAGAAACAAGGUAGCCCAUGGAUGCAAAUUUGUAGCACUUUCAAGUCCAAAUGCAGUGUGUAAAUGGACUUAAAGAAAACAACAUAGAAAUAGCUCUUAGUUUUUCUGUAGUACAUAUGUUUCCUUUUGCAACUUUUGUAGAUGCUUUUGAUUAGAAGUUUGUCUUCCAUUAGUAUUUAAAUUGAAAACUUAUGUAUGGAUUUUUGGUUAUUAUAGUUAAUUUCAUUUGUUCUAUAAA